GGCUCAGGAUGAACGCUGGCGGCGUGCCUAAUACAUGCAAGUCGAACGAGUUCUGAUUAUUGAAAGGUGCUUGCAUCUUGAUUUAAUUUUGAACGAGUGGCGGACGGGUGAGUAACACGUGGGUAACCUGCCCUUAAGUGGGGGAUAACAUUUGGAAACAGAUGCUAAUACCGCAUAAAUCCAAAAACCGCAUGGUUCUUGGCUGAAAGAUGGCGUAAGCUAUCGCUUUUGGAUGGACCCGCGGCGUAUUAGCUAGUUGGUGAGGUAACGGCUCACCAAGGCAAUGAUACGUAGCCGAACUGAGAGGUUGAUCGGCCACAUUGGGACUGAGACACGGCCCAAACUCCUACGGGAGGCAGCAGUAGGGAAUCUUCCACAAUGGACGCAAGUCUGAUGGAGCAACGCCGCGUGAGUGAAGAAGGCUUUCGGGUCGUAAAACUCUGUUGUUGGAGAAGAAUGGUCGGCAGAGUAACUGUUGUCGGCGUGACGGUAUCCAACCAGAAAGCCACGGCUAACUACGUGCCAGCAGCCGCGGUAAUACGUAGGUGGCAAGCGUUAUCCGGAUUUAUUGGGCGUAAAGCGAGCGCAGGCGGUUUUUUAAGUCUGAUGUGAAAGCCCUCGGCUUAACCGAGGAAGUGCAUCGGAAACUGGGAAACUUGAGUGCAGAAGAGGACAGUGGAACUCCAUGUGUAGCGGUGAAAUGCGUAGAUAUAUGGAAGAACACCAGUGGCGAAGGCGGCUGUCUGGUCUGUAACUGACGCUGAGGCUCGAAAGCAUGGGUAGCGAACAGGAUUAGAUACCCUGGUAGUCCAUGCCGUAAACGAUGAAUGCUAGGUGUUGGAGGGUUUCCGCCCUUCAGCGCCGCAGCUAACGCAUUAAGCAUUCCGCCUGGGGAGUACGACCGCAAGGUUGAAACUCAAAGGAAUUGACGGGGGCCCGCACAAGCGGUGGAGCAUGUGGUUUAAUUCGAAGCAACGCGAAGAACCUUACCAGGUCUUGACAUCUUUUGAUCACCUGAGAGAUCAGGUUUCCCCUUCGGGGGCAAAAUGACAGGUGGUGCAUGGUUGUCGUCAGCUCGUGUCGUGAGAUGUUGGGUUAAGUCCCGCAACGAGCGCAACCCUUAUGACUAGUUGCCAGCAUUUAGUUGGGCACUCUAGUAAGACUGCCGGUGACAAACCGGAGGAAGGUGGGGAUGACGUCAAAUCAUCAUGCCCCUUAUGACCUGGGCUACACACGUGCUACAAUGGAUGGUACAACGAGUUGCGAGACCGCGAGGUCAAGCUAAUCUCUUAAAGCCAUUCUCAGUUCGGACUGUAGGCUGCAACUCGCCUACACGAAGUCGGAAUCGCUAGUAAUCGCGGAUCAGCACGCCGCGGUGAAUACGUUCCCGGGCCUUGUACACACCGCCCGUCACACCAUGAGAGUUUGUAACACCCGAAGCCGGUGGCGUAACCCUUUUAGGGAGCGAGCCGUCUAAGGUGGGACAAAUGA
rnacentral:rRNA from 1 species